ACGCUGGCGGCAGGCCUAACACAUGCAAGUCGAGCGGUAGAGAGAAGCUUGCUUCUCUUGAGAGCGGCGGACGGGUGAGUAAUGCCUAGGAAUCUGCCUGGUAGUGGGGGAUAACGUUCGGAAACGGACGCUAAUACCGCAUACGUCCUACGGGAGAAAGCAGGGGACCUUCGGGCCUUGCGCUAUCAGAUGAGCCUAGGUCGGAUUAGCUAGUUGGUGGGGUAAUGGCUCACCAAGGCGACGAUCCGUAACUGGUCUGAGAGGAUGAUCAGUCACACUGGAACUGAGACACGGUCCAGACUCCUACGGGAGGCAGCAGUGGGGAAUAUUGGACAAUGGGCGAAAGCCUGAUCCAGCCAUGCCGCGUGUGUGAAGAAGGUCUUCGGAUUGUAAAGCACUUUAAGUUGGGAGGAAGGGUUGUAGAUUAAUACUCUGCAAUUUUGACGUUACCGACAGAAUAAGCACCGGCUAACUCUGUGCCAGCAGCCGCGGUAAUACAGAGGGUGCAAGCGUUAAUCGGAAUUACUGGGCGUAAAGCGCGCGUAGGUGGUUAGUUAAGUUGGAUGUGAAAUCCCCGGGCUCAACCUGGGAACCGCAUUCAAAACUGACUGACUAGAGUAUGGUAGAGGGUGGUGGAAUUUCCUGUGUAGCGGUGAAAUGCGUAGAUAUAGGAAGGAACACCAGUGGCGAAGGCGACCACCUGGACUGAUACUGACACUGAGGUGCGAAAGCGUGGGGAGCAAAC
rnacentral:rRNA from 1 species